UCCUCAGGAUGAUAGCCUAUUCAAAAAAGAGCUAUUUUGUCAAAAUUUCCAGAAGACUACUUUAAGUCUGCUGCUCAUGGCGACUGGGACUGCCUCCUUUCAUCACAAGCAUACUUUUUCUCUUGCAGUAUCUUUGCCCUGAGUAAAGCCUGUCUGCUCCAGUCUAGUCUGGGUGAUUCAGAUAUGAGGACACUGGGAGUCACGUUGGCUGGUUCCGUUUCUGCACCACCUUCGUGAGUUACUUGGUUGUUUCCUGAAGAAUCGUCUCAAAUGUAUACAAAUCCUGGCAUUUAAUUGUGGGAAUGGAUCUGCUACUGUGCACAAAACUUCUUGGAGAUCAACAACAAUCCAAAGGCAGAAGGGAAGAUAAUUAGAAAUUGAGGAUGGGAAAGAGGAAGAGAGAAGAAAUAAUGACUUUCAGAGGACUUUCUCUCCCUUAGAACAAAAUGAAAAGGAACACCUAAAAUACUCAGCAUGUGGUACUUUUGUCUCUGCUUUCUUACCUUGGGCCCUGUGAUUCUUAUUAAGAAUAGUGAUUGUCCUAUAUGUCCAGCUUCCUCUAUUUAUGAGGUAACAGAAUUAAUUUCUUCCUCAAGUCCCAUUACUGGCAUUGCUUUCUUCUUGACCAAAGCUGAGUUCUGCACCAAUGCUGAGUCUUCUCAUUUUGUAAAA